AUGAACGCUGGCGGCGUGCCUUAAGCAUGCAAGUCGAACGGGAUUUUGGAGUCGCCAGAUUUUAAUUUUCAGUGGCGGACGGGUGGGUAUAAGUAAGGCACGUACCCUAAACUAUCGCAUAGCUCGUCGAAAGACGGGGUAAUUCGGUAUGUGGUCCGGCGCCAGCCGGACCAAAGAGCGUAACAACUCGGUUUUGGAGCGGCCUUAUGUCUAUCAGCUAGUUGGUGGGGUAAAAGCCUACCAAGGCGACGACGGAUAGGGGGUGUGAGAGCACGACCCCCCACAAUGGCACUGAGACACGGGCCAUACGUCUACGGACGGCAGCAACUGGGAAUAGUCGGCAAUGGACGAAAGUCUGACCGAGCGACGCCGCGUGAGGGAUGAAGGGGGUCGGAUCGGAAACCGCUUUUGCCAAGCAGUCGAUGCUUGGAGAAUAAGCACCUACAAGCUAUGU
rnacentral:rRNA from 1 species